GCGAUGCUGAUCCCCCAGAAUCCAUCUCAGGUGUAUGCGGCCGCUGUGAAUGGAGACAAAAACACCUUACAGUGACUGAUCACAGCAGAGUCUCGUCUGCGGGACAGUGAGGAUCAGUUUGGCUGGACUCCUCUGAUGUAUUGUGUGCUGGCCGGCCGACUGUGCAGAGGUGCUGCUUAAGGCUGGCGCAGCCGUCAAAAAGACUGACCACAGUCAGAGGACCGCACUGCACCUGGCAGCACAGAAGGUUAAAGGAUCUGGAAGAAAAAACCCAUUACACCUGGCAACCCGACACUCAAGCUCCAAACCUCUGUCUCUGCUCCUCAAGCACAAGGCACCUGGUGAGGUGGACACACAGCACAGGAAUAAGGUACCAAACGCAAACACAAACUACACAUGCUCACACACUCAGCGGCUCAUCUAUAGUUGGCUUGGGUGGGGAUCGGGGUGAACGCGAGGUUAGGUGGUGUGUAUAUGUGUGCGUGUGUGUUUGUGGUUGUAUAUAUGCCAUAAAGCAGCAGGGGAGCUCUGCACCCUCUGAUGUUUCUCUGGAGGAUAUGAGCUCUGUUUAAAUUGUCUAAUAAAAGAUAUUUUCUCAGAGCUGCUGCGAGAGCU
ensembl:lncRNA